rnacentral:rRNA from 1 species
UGGGAACCUUCCCUAUGGUUCGGAAUAGCUCAGGGAAACUUGGGGUAAUACCGGAUAAGCCCUUCGGGGGAAAGAUUUAUCGCCAUUGGAUGGCCGCGUCGGGUUAGCUAGUUGGUGAGGUAACGGCUCACCAAGGCAACGAUCCGUAGCUGGUCGUGAGAGGAUGAUCAGCCACACUGGGACUGAGACACGGCCCAGACUCCUACGGGGAGGCAG